rnacentral:rRNA from 1 species
CUACGGGUGGCUGCAGUGAGGAAUAUUGCACAAUGGGCGAAAGCCUGAUGCAGCAAUGCCGCGUGCAGGAAGACGGCCUUCGGGUUGUAAACUGCUUUUAUUUGUGAAGAUUAUGACGGUAACAAAUGAAUAAGAACUUGCUAACUACGUGCCAGCAGCAGCGGUAAUACGUAGAGUUCGAGCGUUAUCCGGAUUUAUGUGGGCGUAAAGCGCUUGUAGGCGGAUUGGUAAGUCGAACGUUAAAGAUCUUGGCUCAACCAGGAGAAAGUGUUCGAAACUACCUUCUAGAGGUCGGCAGAGGCAGACGGAAUUCUCGGUGUAGGGGUAAUAUCCGUAGAUAUCCAGAAGAACACCAAAGGCGAAGGCAGUCUGCUGGUCCGCACCUGACGCUCAGAAGCGAAAGCGUGGGGAGCGAACGGGAUUAGAUACCCUGGUAGUC